UAUAUUAAAAUUUUCAUACAUUUUCUAUAACAAAAAUUAUCUACUACGACAGUUGUUUACAUUAGAAAUUGGAAAGGAGAAAAAAAAAACUGAAAACGAAAAUUAAAGGGUUUUAAAGCUUUCCCUCAAAUCAAAAUUUCUCCCAAAUUAAAAACCUUCGUUCCUCCCGAAAGAAGUCAUCUCCAAAUGUAAAAAAGGUCAUCUUCGGACGAUGCCAAUUCCCAUCACCACCCUCUCAUUCUCGUCUCCUCACUCUAGCGCCUGUCGUAACCUCAUCUACCGAACGACAAAGCCUCCUCUAUUGUAACCUAUUCAAUUUGUGUCUGUCAUCUCCAAUUCGCUGCAAUCUCUUCAACGUUCAAACUGUAGUCGUCACCUCCUCUGUCGGUAAGUCAUCUGUUCCUCUUCUCUUUCUCUCUCCCGUGAAGUUUUGCUUAAGAGAGAAAUUUCCUACUUGAAAUUUUUUCCAGAUUUUCCAUUACGCAAAAAAUUUCCUUUCUUCCUUUUUCUAAUUUGAUGAUGAUUAUGAAGAUAAUCACGAGUGUUUCAUCUCCAGAUUUUUGUUCUACUUGAUUCAUAUUCGUUUCUUUGUUUUCUUUGAUCGAAACUCUGUUUCUUUCCCAAAAUUCGACCGCCACGGAAAAGCUUUCCUUCAAGGAUUCGCUUAAAGCACUUGAAGUCGAUGUUCAGCAUGUCAAUACGCUAAGGUACUUGUUCCACUGUCUACAGUAUAAUGGACCGUUUACUUCUUGAAACUCAGUACAUUGUUCAAUGGUGGAUAAGGAAUGUUAAUGUGUCCUUUAAUAUAAUGUCGAAUCAAAGUUGACUUGAAGCUGAAAGAGAACAAGACAAAAAGGUAAAAGGUCUUGAAAAUGAGAUGUUUAUUUAAAGAAAUUUGGGUUUAGGAUAUAUUCUUUUAUUAUAUGACACCUCCCCUUGUCUUUAUAAUUUUAUAUAAUACUAUUUUGGUGAUGUGUUUUUUUGGUUUUUCUGCUGUACAUUUUUUCACGAGAAGAUUGUUCUUUGAUGUUUAGAGGAGCCUAAUACUUCAUCCUUAGUUGACCUUAGUUGAGAAAGAGCUCUCCAACUCUAACCUAAAAGGAGCUUAAAGAUAAGUAUUCGUUGACAGCAGUAGGCAGUAGGCCUUUAAUUAUUUAUCACAUUGUGAGGUCUAAUUGAAUUUCUUCAACUUCAAAUAUUUUUGUCAUUACACUCUUAAAUUAAUUAAUUUUAGUUUGCUAUAUCUAUGCAUAAACAAAUUUGUGGAUUUUAAUGUUAAUAUGUAAUCUUCCAAAUAUUGUUGGUUGUUGAUGGAAACACCAAUUGACAUUUCGA